GAUGAACGCUGGCGGCGUGCCUAAUACAUGCAAGUCGAACGCAGUGGGGACGGGAGAGUAACACGUGGGUAACCUCCCAUCAGAGGGGAUAACAACUGGAAACAGGUGCUAAACCGAUACUGAUGGAUGGACCCGCGGUGCAUUAGCUAGUUGGUGAGGUAACGGCUCACCAAGGCCACGAUGCAUAGCUGACCUGGGAGGGUGAUCUGCCACCCUGCAACUGAUACGCGGCCCAGUCUCCUACGUGAGGCAGCAUUAUGGGAUCUUCGGCCAUGGACUGAAGUCUGACCGAGCAACGCCGCGUGAGUGAAGGAGGUUUUCGGAUCUUAACACUCUGUUGUUAGAGAAGCGGUAUCUAACCAGAAAGCCCCGGCUAACUCCGUGCCAGCAGCCGCGGUAAUAC
rnacentral:rRNA from 1 species